rnacentral:lncRNA from 1 species
GAUCAUUAAUAAAAGCAGAAAAUAUGUGAUGUAAUCCAACAUUUAUGUUUUUUUAAAAAAUGAUUCUUAGCAAACUAAUAAACAAGAAGGAAAUUUUCUUACUCUAAGAAGAGUAUCUACAGAAAAUACCCUACGUCAUUAAAAAGUAGGAAACAUCAUGCAUAAUGGCUGAAAUGUUAGGACUUUUCUUUGAGAGUAGGAAAAAAGACAAAUAUACCAGCUAUCGCCACUCCUAUUGAUCAUUGCAUAGCAGAUCCUAGCUAAUGCAAUGAGGCACAAAAGAGAAAUAAAGAUAUUUGGAUUAAAAAGGAAUAAAUAAAACUGUAAUUAUCGCGAGCCAGCCUUGAUGGUCUAGUGGUUAAAAUUUGGUGCUCUGGCUGAGUCAGUGGCCCAGGUUGAUUUCCUGGUCGUGGAGCCAUGCCACCCGUCUGUCAGUUGCCGUGCUGCGGUGGCGACUCACACAGAACUAGGAGGACUUACAACUAGGAUAUGCAAGCAUGCACUGGGGCUCUGGGGCGAAGAGAAAAAAAGAGGAAGAUUGGCAACAGGUGUUAGCUGAGGGCGAAUUCUUCCCUAUAAAACAAACAAACAAAAACACUGUAAUCGUCAGGAGAUUAUAUUAUUACGUAUUAGAGAAUUCAACAGAAAUUUCAGGUAAAUUGUUGGAACUAAAAAGUGAAUUUAGCAAGUGUGCUGGGUACAAAGUAAAUAUGAAAAAAUAAAUUGUAUUUCUAUUUAUCACUAAUAAACAGAUAGGAAAUGAAUUUUAAUUAGAAUAAAAAUAAUCAGAUGCCUAGGAAAGAAUCUAACAAAAGAUAUGAAGACUUCUAUAUUGAAAACUAUUUAACAUUCUUAAGAGAAAUUAAAGAAGACCUAAAUAAAUGGAGAGAGAUGUCAUGUUCAUGAAAUGGAAGAUUCUGUUUUUUGAAGAUGUCAGUCUCAAAACCGUUGCAUAGGGUCAGUGCAGUCUCAAUCAAAAUCUCAAGAAGGUUUUUGUGAAAAUGGAUAAACUCAUCCUAAAGUUUGUGUGGAAACAUGAAGGACCAAGAAUAGCCAAGAUACUUUGAAGAAGAAUAAGAUAAGAGGACUUGCUUCACCAGAGGGGCCAGCCCGGUGGCGCAGCAGUUAAGUUCACACGUUCUGCUUCGGCGGCCCGGGGUUCGUCGGUUUGGAUCCUGGGUGCAGACAUGGCACCACUUCGCACGCCAUGCUGUGGUAGGUGUCCUACGUAUAAAGUAGAGGAAGGUGGGCAUGGAUGUGAGCUCAGGGCCAGGCUCCCUCAGCAAAAAGAGGAGGACUGGCAGUAGGUAGCUGAGGGCUAAUCUUCCUCAAAAAAAAAAAGAAGACUUUUGGUACCAAGAAGUGAGUCCCAAAUCCUUAGAUUUGGAGAAGUGAGAAUUUUCAUACACUGGUGGUGAGAGUGAAAACUGGUACAACCACUUUGGAGAACUAAUUAGCAUUGUGUAAUAAAAUUGAACAGAGGCACAUUCUGUGAGUCAGCACUUCUACUCUGGCGUACAGAGUCAAUGGAAAAAUGCAAUACAUAUACCAAAAAUUAUGGCUAGGAAUGUUUAUAGCAGCAGUAUUAAUGAUGGAAAGUACCCAGUGUCCAUCAAGAGUACAAUAUAAUGUGUGCACAUGCACACACACAAACACACACAAAUGCUUUAUGGUAUAUUUAUAUAAAUGAAAAACAGUAUGCCAUAAAAACAAAACACUAUAGUUGCACAACCUAGAUGAGCCUUCUCGACAUUAAUGCGUGAAAGAAACCACACACGCACGCAUCUCUGUUUCAUUUAUAUAAAGCUCAAAAAACAGGCAUAACGAAACUGUAGUCUUUAGGGAUGCAUUCUUAGAUAGCAAAACUAUAAAGAAAGUGAUUGCUGUGAAUAAUUGUGGGGGAGGACCGGGAUGCUAAUUAGGGGAAAGAAUGCUGAGACUUCCAGGGGUGGUGGCAAAGUUAUAUUUUUUGACUUGGGUGAUGAUUACGUGGAUGCUGCUUUGUGAUAAAUCAUUGAGCUGUACGUUAGUUUUGGGCACUUUUCUGUGUAUGUGUUCUAUUUCACCGAUGCAAAUAUUUUAAAAAUCAAUAAAUAACGUAACUUUACCACCAUUUUCUUGAUUUUUAAUCAAUUUAAAAUAUUACCCAUUGACUUACUGUUAGGAUAAUUUAGACCUUUUUCCCUUCCCUUCUUUUGACUCCACACUCUGUUUAUAUUAUUAUGUAAACACUGUUCUUCAAUGAGACCAAUGAUAUACUAUGAUUAGAAGUCCUUUCUUGUGCAACUUUUUAGUUUUUUUCCUAUUAAUAAACAUUGCCUCUUUUUGACUUGUGUGUUUGUAUCAUGUUUGUAUAUAUAUAAACUCCCCCCCUCCCUCCUUUGCGUCCUUUCUUCCUUUCUUCUUUUUUUCUUUCUCUCUAAUUCUUCCCAUGCCUUCCAGCAGCACUUCUUGAUCUCAUUUUGCUCUGGGCCAAACAUAUCAGAUAAUGGACCAUUUCCAUUUUGCUUUUCCUGCUCUAAUUUGACCUGGUUGCUCUAUAAGCCUGUUCUGGAACAGUCUCUGUGCAGGGAUUUCUUGUUUUCACUUGUCUCCUGUUUCCUGGAUCCCAUGUUCUCUUCUUUUUUGUUUGCUGCGUUGGGUGGAGCACAUCUGAUACCAGUUUGCUAAGCAAGCACAGGAGGUAAAUCUUCCAAGAAUUCAUCUCUGAAAAUGUCUUUAAUCUACCCUCCCCCUUAGUCAGUAGUUUGGCUAGCAUUUAAUUCUAGGUUGAAAAUCAUCUUCCCUUCAUAUUUUGAAGGCAAGACUGAAUUGACUUCCAACUGCUAUUGUUGCCGGUGAGAAGUCAUAUGCCAUUUUGAUUGGUCACUUUUUCUAUGUGAACAGAUUUCUUUUGUUCUUUCUGGAAGCUUUUAGAAUUUUAAUUUUAUCCCUG